rnacentral:lncRNA from 1 species
GAUGCCUUCUGCCAUGAUUGUAAGUUUCCUGAGGCGUCCCCAGCCAUGCAGAACUGACCUGUGAGAGAAAGCCGGGGAAGCAGAACCCUUUGAUGGAGACAACAGAGUCAGGACAAUAUUGUUUAAAACUCCUAAAUCCAAACAUGCCUGAAGCUAUAAGUUACUUCUGAAAUUUAAAAAUUUAUCUGUGGUAUCUGUUUAUUAUGGCAGCCCAGUGAGACUAAGACAGGCCAUCAAAAGACGUGAACGUUUUGGACCUUCUCUUGGGCCCUAGUAAACAGAAAUCAGGAAAAAGGAUCCAAUGAAAGGGCUAGGUUGUAGAAAGGCUACUUAUUAAACUAAACCACGUUCUGAACUGUUACUGCUACUGGAAACCAGUCCCGAUCCAGACCCCAAAAGAGGAUUCUUGGAUCUUGCACAAGAAAGAAAGGGGAGGGACCUGUAGUCAUUACCUUCAAGGAACCUAAAUCCUGGUGUCUUUAUUACUCCUCACAGUAAAAGAGCACUUGGUGGAAAUUUUGUUCUGAAGUGAAGGCUGAAACCCCAGAGAUCAAACACUGUACUCAAGUUUACAAAGCUGGACUCAGACCCUAACACUGGCUUUAAAAUUUGUCCUAAGUUAGACCAUAAUGCCUCUCUUUCCAGCUGGAUCUACAUGCCUCCACUCUGGCUUUUAACAAGGCUCUGAACUAUUGUCAGAACUUGGGAAUUUCUAACAUUGAAGGUAACACAUUGACACAAUUUCCUCGAUGUAAAAUUGUAUACACUUUAUCCAAGUCCCAUCUGAGCAUGUUAUGUCCUAUUUGUACCCUUACAAAAACUGAUUGGUGGCCAAAUUGAUUUGAGACUGAAAGUUGCCACUUAUGUUCUUAGAAAUACUUGCUUUAAUUCACCAGAAUCAGUUGCUCUGAUACAACUUC